rnacentral:rRNA from 1 species
AUGCAUGUGUAAGUUCAUCUUUAUUAAAGUGAAACCGCGGAUGGCUCAGUAAACCAGUCCGAAUUUUAUGAUAGCGAACUCAAAAAGGAUACCUCAGGUAACCCUUGAGCUAAUACUUGACUAGCACUCUUUGCAGUGCCUGACUCUUAUAGUAACCUUGGUCGUCUGCGAAGGCGACUUACAGGGGAGACUAAUUAGAGCACAAAUUCCGCUGUAAAUUAGCACGGAAUAAUAUCUCGAAGUGUCUGACCUAUCAAUUGGGGACGGUAGUGUCUUGGACUACCAUGGUUCUGACGGGUGACGGGGAAUCAGGGUUCUAUUCCGGAGAGGCAGCCUUAGAAACGGCUACUACACCCAAGGGAGGCAGCAGGCGCGCAAAUUACCCAAUACUAGUUCGGUGAGGUAGUGACGAGAAAUAACAAUACAUCACUUUUGUGUUGUAAUUGGAAUGACAGUGAAGUAAAUUUUCUCUGAAGGAUCAAGUGGAGGGCAAGUCUGGUGCCAGCAGCCGCGGUAAUACCAGCUUCCACAAGCAUAUGCAAAAGUUGCUGCGUUUAGAAAGCUCGUAGUUGGUGCUGUUAUGGUCCGUUUACAAACUGAGACGAGUUCUCGGAAUUCGGGCUAUCUCUACUGAUUUCCUGCGUUUUGCCCUUAGUUGGGUGAUUCGUGGGGUCAGGUUUUACCUAGAAUAAAUUAGCGUGUUCAAAGCAGCCUUUGGGUAUGAAUAAUGGAGCAUGGAAUAAUGGAAGAGGGUCGUGCAUCUUUCAUGGGUUAUGGAUUAGACGAUAAUGGUUAACAAGAUCGAGUGGGGGCGUUCGUAUUGCUACGUCAGAGGUGAAAUUCUUGGAUCGUAGCAAGACGGUCUACUGCGAAAGCAUUUGCCAAG